rnacentral:rRNA from 1 species
UACGUAGGGGCAAGCGUUGUCCGGAAUUAUUGGGCGUAAAGCGCGCGCAGGCGGUCCUUUAAGUCUGAUGUGAAAGCCCACGGCUCAACCGUGGAGGUCAUUGGAAACUGGGGACUUGAGUGCAGAAGAGGAGAGUGGAAUUCCACGUGUAGCGGUGAAAUGCGUAGAGAUGUGGAGGAACACCAGUGGCGAAGGCGACUCUCUGGUCUGUAACUGACGCUGAGGCGCGAAAGCGUGGGAGCAACAGG